GUGAAAUUGAACUCGCUGUGAAGAUGCAGUGUACCCGCGGCAAGACGGAAAGACCCCGUGAACCUUUACUAUAGCUUGACACUGAACAUUGAGCCUUGAUGUGUAGGAUAGGUGGGAGGCUUUGAAGUGUGGACGCCAGUCUGCAUGGAGCCGACCUUGAAAUACCACCCUUUAAUGUUUGAUGUUCUAACGUGGACCCGUGAUCCGGGUUGCGGACAGUGUCUGGUGGGUAGUUUGACUGGGGCGGUCUCCUCCUAAAGAGUAACGGAGGAGCACGAAGGUUGGCUAAUCCUGGUCGGACAUCAGGAGGUUAGUGCAAUGGCAUAAGCCAGCUUGACUGCGAGCGUGACGGCGCGAGCAGGUGCGAAAGCAGGUCAUAGUGAUCCGGUGGUUCUGAAUGGAAGGGCCAUCGCUCAACGGAUAAAAGGUACUCCGGGGAUAACAGGCUGAUACCGCCCAAGAGUUCAUAUCGACGGCGGUGUUUGGCACCUCGAUGUCGGCUCAUCACAUCCUGGGGCUGAAGUAGGUCCCAAGGGUAUGGCUGUUCGCCAUUUAAAGUGGUACGCGAGCUGGGUUUAGAACGUCGUGAGACAGUUCGGUCCCUAUCUGCCGUGGGCGCUGGAGAACUGAGGGGGGCUGCUCCUAGUACGAGAGGACCGGAGUGGACGCAUCACUGGUGUUCGGGUUGUCAUGCCAAUGGCACUGCCCGGUAGCUAAAUGCGGAAGAGAUAAGUGCUGAAAGCAUCUAAGCACGAAACUUGCCCCGAGAUGAGUUCUCCCUGAGACUUUAGGUCUCCUGAAGGAACGUUGAAGACGACGACGUUGAUAGGCCGGGUGUGUAAGCGCAGCGAUGCGUUGAGCUAACCGGUACUAAUGAACCGUGAGGCUUAACCUUACAACGCCGAAG
rnacentral:rRNA from 1 species